rnacentral:rRNA from 1 species
AUGCACGCUGGCGGCGUGCCUAAUACAUGCCAGUCGAGCGAACGGACGAGAAGCUUGCUUCUCUGAUGUUAGCGGCGGACGGGUGAGUAACACGUGGAUAACCUACCUAUAAGACUGGGAUAACUUCGGGAAACCGGAGCUAAUACCGGAUAAUAUUUUGAACCGCAUGGUUCAAAAGUGAAAGACGGUCUUGCUGUCACUUAUAGAUGGAUCCGCGCUGCAUUAGCUAGUUGGUAAGGUAACGGCUUACCAAGGCAACGAUGCAUAGCCGACCUGAGAGGGUGAUCGGCCACCCUGGAACUGAGACACGGUCCAGACUCCUACGGGAGGCAGCAGUAGGGAAUCUUCCGCAAUGGGCGAAAGCCUGACGGAGCAACGCCGCGUGAGUGAUGAAGGUCUUCGGAUCGUAAAACUCUGUUAUUAGGGAAGAACAUAUGUGUAAGUAACUGUGCACAUCUUGACGGUACCUAAUCAGAAAGCCACGGCUAACUACGU